rnacentral:rRNA from 1 species
GACGGAGGGCGCAAGCGUUGUUCGGAAUUACUGGGCGUAAAGCGCGCGCAGGCGGGAAGGUAAGUCUGGAGUGAAAUUCCGGGGCUCAACUCCGGAGCUGCUUUGGAUACUGUCUUUCUAGGGACCGGUAGAGGCCGGUGGAAUUCCCGGUGUAGCGGUGGAAUGCGUACGAGAUCGGGAAGAACACCCGGUGGCGAAGGCG